UACGUAGGGUGCGAGCGUUAAUCGGAAUUACUGGGCGUAAAGCGUGCGCAGGCGGUUAUAUAAGACAGAUGUGAAAUCCCCGGGCCCAACCAGGGACCUGCAUUUGUGAAUGUAUAGCUAGAGUAAGGUAGAGGGGGAUGGAAUUACGCGUGUAGCAGUGAAAUGCGUAGAUAUGCGGAGGAACACCGAUGGCGAAGGCAAUCCCCUGGACCUGUACUGACGCACAUGCACGAAAGCGUGGGGAGCAAACAGGAUUAGAUACCCUGGUAGUCCACGCCCUAAACGAUGUCAACUGGUUGUUGGGUCUUCGCUGACUCAUUAACGAAGCUAACGCGUGAAGUUGACCGCCUGGGGAGUACGGCCGCAAGGUUG
rnacentral:rRNA from 1 species